CUUAUGCCAACUUGUGGAGGUAUUCUUUGUGAUUGUAUUGAGCUCCCAUAAAAUAUUGGCCAUCAUAGAAUAAAGGAAAAUUGCCUUUUCCUCGUUAAUGCCAAUAUUGCAUAUUGGGCACUUUCUAAAGGAACUACGAUUUUGGCUGCCAUGAAAAAUCCAAAAUAAUUUGUGGAGCUUCUCCUAUCCAUAUCUUCCCCAAUUCCAUCAAGAUCCCAAGCAUCAUAGUUCAAAUUUUGAGCACAACAUCGAAUUGCAAAUUCUGUCCAGUUGGGAAAUUUACAAU
rnacentral:lncRNA from 1 species